rnacentral:rRNA from 2 species
AUUAGAGUUUGAUCCUGGCUCAGAUUGAACGCUGGCGGCAGGCCUAACACAUGCAAGUCGAGCGGAUGAGAGGAGCUUGCUCUUCGAUUCAGCGGCGGACGGGUGAGUAAUGCCUAGGAAUCUGCCUGGUAGUGGGGGACAACGUUUCGAAAGGAACGCUAAUACCGCAUACGUCCUACGGGAGAAAGCAGGGGACCUUCGGGCCUUGCGCUAUCAGAUGAGCCUAGGUCGGAUUAGCUAGUUGGUGGGGUAAUGGCUCACCAAGGCGACGAUCCGUAACUGGUCUGAGAGGAUGAUCAGUCACACUGGAACUGAGACACGGUCCAGACUCCUACGGGAGGCAGCAGUGGGGAAUAUUGGACAAUGGGCGAAAGCCUGAUCCAGCCAUGCCGCGUGUGUGAAGAAGGUCUUCGGAUUGUAAAGCACUUUAAGUUGGGAGGAAGGGCAUUAACCUAAUACGUUAGUGUUUUGACGUUACCGACAGAAUAAGCACCGGCUAACUCUGUGCCAGCAGCCGCGGUAAUACAGAGGGUGCAAGCGUUAAUCGGAAUUACUGGGCGUAAAGCGCGCGUAGGUGGUUUGUUAAGUUGAAUGUGAAAGCCCCGGGCUCAACCUGGGAACUGCAUCCAAAACUGGCAAGCUAGAGUACGGUAGAGGGUGGGUGGAAUUUCCUGUGUAGCGGUGAAAUGCGUAGAUAUAGGAAGGAACACCAGUGGCGAAGGCGACCACCUGGACUGAUACUGACACUGAGGUGCGAAAGCGUGGGGAGCAAACAGGAUUAGAUACCCUGGUAGUCCACGCCGUAAACGAUGUCAACUAGCCGUUGGAAUCCUUGAGAUUUUAGUGGCGCAGCUAACGCAUUAAGUUGACCGCCUGGGGAGUACGGCCGCAAGGUUAAAC